CAUGGAGACCACAUACUUCACAAGGUAUAUGCUCAAAUUGGAAGUGCAGUAAUUUUAUCAUGUGAGAUCUCAAAAGGGGCCUCAACACAGAGUUGGAGGAAAGGUUUAAUAGUUUUAACACAAGGAGUUGAGAUAAACAGAAACUUCCACAGCUACGGAAGACUUGAAGUUGUUAUUGAUGAAAAGUUUUAUAAUCUUAAGAUAUACAACAUAUCUAAAUAUGAUUUUGAUACUUACUGGUGCGAGAUGCAAAAAGACAACUCUAUAAGAGCUGAAGGAACAACUUUAAUUAAUUUAGACAGGCAUACUAUUAGUACUUUACGUGAUUCCUCCCCGUCUGAAACAAAAGACAGUACAGGAAUUCAUCUUGGUCAAAGCUUCUACUACGGUAUUUCUGCAACAGGAAUUGGGGUUAUUUGUCUGUCUAUUGGUUGCAUUUAUUUCAUUAAUAAAUGUAGAA